rnacentral:rRNA from 1 species
AUUGAACGCUGGCGGCAGGCCUAACACAUGCAAGUCGAACGGCAGCACAGAAGAGCUUGCUCUUUGGGUGGCGAGUGGCGGACGGGUGAGUAAUGUCUGGGAAACUGCCCGAUGGAGGGGGAUAACUACUGGAAGCGGUAGCUAAUACCGCAUAACGUCGCAAGACCAAAGUGGGGGACCUUCGGGCCUCACACCAUCGGAUGUGCCCAGAUGGGAUUAGCUAGUAGGUGGGGUAAUGGCUCACCUAGGCGACGAUCCCUAGCUGGUCUGAGAGGAUGACCAGCCACACUGGAACGGAGACACGGUCCAGACUCCGACGGGAGGCAGCAGUGGGGAAUAUUGCACAAUGGGCGCAAGCCUGAUGCAGCCAUGCCGCGUGUAUGAAGAAGGCCUUCGGGUUGUAAAGUACUUUCAGCGGGGAGGAAGGCGGUGAGGUUAAUAACCUUGCCGAUUGACGUUACCCGCAGAAGAAGCACCGGCUAACUCCGUGCCAGCAGCCGCCGUAAUAC